AUACGGAGGAUGCGAGCGUUAUCCGGAUUCAUUGGGUAUAAAGGGUGCGUAGGCGGCCCCCCAAGUCAGCGGUGAAAUGUCCGGGCCCAACCCGGAGGGUGCCGUUGAUACUGUGGGGCUGGAGUACGGACGCCGGCGGAGGAAUGAGUGGUGUAGCGGUGAAAUGCAUAGAUAUCACUCAGAACACCGAUUGCGAAGGCAACCGCCGAGGCCGUUACUACCGCGGAGGCACGAAAGCGUGGGGAUAGAACAGGAUUAGAUCCCCUGGUAUUCCACGCCGUAAACGAUGAUGACUAACCGCCGGGGGGUAGACUUCCGGCAGCCAAGCGAAAGCGAUAAGUCAUCCACCUGGGGAGUACGGCCGCAAGGCUGAAACUCAAAUGAAUUGACGGGG
rnacentral:rRNA from 1 species